rnacentral:rRNA from 14 species
CCCACCUGGGGAGUACGUUCGCAAGAAUGAAACUCAAAGGAAUUGACGGGGGCCCGCACAAGCGGUGGAGCAUGUGGUUUAAUUCGAUGAUACGCGAGGAACCUUACCAGGGCUUAAAUGCAGGCUGCAUGGGGUGGAGACACCCCUUUCUUCGGACUGCCUGCAAGGUGCUGCAUGGUUGUCGUCAGCUCGUGCCGUGAGGUGUCAGGUUAAGUCCUAUAACGAGCGCAACCCCUACC